UACGUAGGGGGCAAGCGUUGUCCGGAUUUAUUGGGCGUAAAGCGCACGCAGGCGGUCUCUUAAGUUUUGAGUGACAGGUGGUGGCUCAACUACCACAGGCCUUGGAAAACUGGGAGACUUGAGGACUUCAGAGGGAUGCGGAAUUCCAGGUGGAGCGGUGAAAUGCGUAGAGAUCUGGAAGAACACCAAAGGCGAAGGCAGCAUUCUGGGAAGUACCUGACGCUCAUGUGCGAAAGCUAGGGGAGCGAACGGG
rnacentral:rRNA from 1 species